AACGAACGCUGGCGGCAUGCCUAACACAUGCAAGUCGAACGAGACCUUCGGGUCUAGUGGCGCACGGGUGCGUAACACGUGGGAAUUUGCCUCGGGGUAUGGAAUAACUCAGGGAAACUUGAGCUAAUACCAUAUAAUGUCUUCGGACCAAAGAUUUAUCGCCCUGAGAUAAGCCCGCGUAGGAUUAGCUAGUUGGUGGGGUAAAGGCUCACCAAGGCGACGAUCCUUAGCUGGUCUGAGAGGAUGAUCAGCCACACUGGGACUGAGACACGGCCCAGACUCCUACGGGAGGCAGCAGUGGGGAAUAUUGGACAAUGGGCGAAAGCCUGAUCCAGCAAUGCCGCGUGAGUGAUGAAGGCCUUAGGGUUGUAAAGCUCUUUACCCGGGAUGAUAAUGACAGUACCGGGAGAAUAAGCUCCGGCUAACUCCGUGCCAGCAGCCGCGGUAAUGUGACUACUG
rnacentral:rRNA from 1 species